rnacentral:ncRNA from 1 species
UGGUGAGUAAGUCCUCCCGAAAGGAUGAUGCCAUGUUGACAUGGGUGGGAGCGAGUAGGGAAGGGUUCACCA